AUGCCCCCCGCCGCGUGCGCCACGCCGGCGGCCGCGCGCCCGCCGCUCCCCGUCUCGCGCCGCUGCCCGCCGCCGCCCCUCUCCGCCGCGCACGUCCCCGCCCGCCGCUCAUCCACGGCAUGCCGCUGCGCCACGGCCUCCUCCCCCGCGGCAUCGGCGUCGACGUCUUCUCCGUCGGCGUGGGACUGGACCCGCUGGAGCCGGCACUUCGCGGAGGUGGACCAGGCGGAGAGCUACGCCUCCGUGCUGCGCUUCCAGCUGGAGGAGGCCGUGGAGGGCGAGGACUUCGCCGAGGCCGCCGCCCUCAAGCGCGCCCUCCUCGACGCCACCGCCGACGACGCCGUCUCCCGCGUCAUGGCCGAGCUCAAGAGCGCCAUCGAGGAGCAGCGCUACCAGGACGCCUCCAGGCUCACCAAGCUCGCCGGAACCAGCCUGGUAGGUUGGUGGGUGGGAUAUGCCAAAGACACCGAUGACUCGAUUGGGCGGAUUGUGCGGAUAACCCCUGGCGUUGGGAGAUACGUCGCCAAGAGCUACAGCCCAAGGCAAUUGGUCACUGCAUCUUCAGGGAGCCCAUUAUUUGAAAUAUUCCUCGUCAGGGACGAAGACGAGAAGUACACAAUGAAGGUAGUACACUUGCGACCGACAAAAGGAGCUUCAACUGCGUCGUCAUCCGUGUCAUCAACACCUGCAGAAGAUCCAGUUAAGGCAGAGAUUGAAAGUUCACCGGAGAGCAGUGCUUUAUCUGAAGGCAUUACAGAGGAAGCAAGCACAGAUACUACGUUAAAAGGGAAUGAUGAUGUCGAGGAGAAAGCGCAGGAUACUGGAAGAACCAAGGAAAGCGGCGUCGAAGGGCUGAAAAGUGUUCUGAAUUUUUUCAAGUCCCGAAUUCCCGAGUUCAAAGUUCAAGUCAUAAAUGUGGAGGUGCCCGAGGAAGCUGAAUUAGUUGCGGAUUCGUCAGACGAGUUAGUGCAAGAUGAUGUGAAGAGCACAUCAGAGAGUUCAUUGGAGGAGCCUAGCACGGAGGAAUUCCAGGAGGAAGAUGUCUCUGAUGGAGAUUCAGACUCGAACGACGAAAGUAAGGGGCCGGAAGUAAAGCUUUUCAUCAGCGGAGUAGUUCAUAAUAAAGAGGAGGCUGGAGCAAAAUCUUAUGUUCGAGUUCCCGCUGAAAUAAAUAACCUGGAAAGGGACUCCUUUGAACUCUACAUCCCUGGAAAAGGUUCUGAUCGGGAUCUGAGUGAAACAAAGGCCGCGAAACAGAAAGUCGCGGAUAUGGCUGCUAAAUUGGCGUCAGAGCUCAUGCCCUCUGAUGUCGCAAAGGCGUUAUGGGGUACCACCAAGAGUUCCUCCAAGAUAAAUAAAGAAGUCCAGGAGCUUUUAAAGCUUACACUGAGCAAGGCCCGAGUCAAGCUGACUGAGAAUACCAUCUUCAAUCGAAUUGUUACAGACUCUAACGGCUCAGAUCCAUUUAACGGUCUCUAUGUAGGAGCAUUUAGUCCAUAUGGCCCCGAAGUUGUACAGCUCCGUCGGAAGUUCGGUCAUUGGAAUAGUACUGAUGAUGUGGAGUUUUUCGAGUAUGUUGAAGCAGUUAAGUUGACUGGUGAUCUAAGUGUCCCUGCUGGACAGGUAACGUUCCGUGCUAAGGUUGCGAAGGGCAGUCGUCUUGAGAAUCGUGGUGCAUACCCGGAAGAGUUUGGUGUGACUGCCAGUUAUAAAGGUCAGGGGAGAAUAGCGCAACCUGGAUUCAAAAACCCGCGGUGGGUGGAUGGUGAGCUGUUGGUGCUUAAUGGCAAGAGUGCGAUCCCACACAUCGGUGGCGCAGAGCUCGGUUUCCUGUACAGCGUGCCUGAGCAGAGCUUCCUGGUUCUCUUUGACCGCCUUACACUCCCCGAGUGA
rnacentral:rRNA from 1 species